UAAAUCGCGAUGAUAGGGAAUAGUAAGCGCCGUUUAAGUAAAGUCACAGAGAGCCUCCGGCCGGUGCAAGGAGGUCUUUACACGGUGCUGAACUCCCCCUGGAGAUGCCGACCGAAAUUUUGAAGAGUAGGCUCGGACGGAGCUUUCGCCGUUAAAAGAAAGGGAGUAUCGGAAAGGUUUAUCUUAUCCCGUACUUUGUAAUAAGCGAGCGGCUAGGUGUGUUUUGCAAAAUAUUAGCCGUUAAGUUGAGUGGUACCGCGAAGAAAUCCCCUUCGUCUCAACG
rnacentral:ncRNA from 1 species